rnacentral:rRNA from 1 species
AUGGCUCUUUCUGCCGCCUCACUUUUCUCCCCUGCUACAGCAACCUUGGGCGAUCUCUUUGGUGAUUCAAACCCUCUGUUACUCUGUUUCAAACCGCAACUUGGGAAAGGGACGACAGCGUAUGGGCGCAUCUUCGUCGUGAAGCUACGACCGCUUCGUCGAACUGCCGUGCGCUCAGUUCACUUUCCUAGUUCUUCACCUCAACCUAUCCACGAAUGUUCUUUUCCUCCUGAAAAAUCAAAGAGGAUUGGCACGCUUUAUAAGAAAACACAAAAACAUACCGUGCAAAACAAGUUCCGCCAGAAGAGAGCCUAA